rnacentral:lncRNA from 10 species
GCCCCCACUGUAGGUUUUCAGCAUCUAGCAGUGGAGAAAAGUCACGAAAUCUAGGCAGCUGAUUUAGCCAGAUCUUAUCUAUGAAAUUUCCCUUUGUAGACACACACACACUCCACAUACAUCUACAGAGACAAGUCAAAAAGAGCAAGAAGAAAGCAAAAAUUUGAAAAUCAGAAAGGUUAGAGAGGUUUCCACGGUGAAGAAAACUUGGUCAAAUAAAAAUGUUUUUGAAUUCUAUAGGGUAAGAUAUUGUGAAUAAUUUUUUAUUAUUAAAAAUUUUUUUUAGGUAGCAUGUAAUCCACAUAAAUAAAAAACUCAAGAAUAAACUGGGACAGAGGAUUUCUUCCAGAGUGCUACAUGGCAAAAGAGCCUUCAGGAACGUGUGCAGGGGUGUCAUGAUACUCCGAAGGUGUCAGUAGUUUUGGUCAGCCCACAGUGAGCAGGGCAGCCUCAAGGGAGAGCCCCUUACAUCCUUUUCUGGGCACCUCUGUCUAAUUAAGUUCAAACAUACAAGCCUGAUUCUAGGAUUAAGGCAUAAGUUAGUUCUGAACAGAAAAAUAUAAGGCAGUUCACAUACACAAUGAAUUCUUGAAGAAAGAACCUAUAGCCCCCAGACCGAUAAUAAAUAAUUACUGCCUGCCAAAAUCCUGAAGAAAGGGAAGCAUGGGGGCUCCAAAAUUAAUAGUCUCCUGAGAAUACUUAUGAGACCUUGAUUUUGUCACAAGGUUGCAAUGGUGAAUUAUUUAUUAAGCACCCGCAGAUCAGAGAAUCUUGCAACAACCUUCUCUUACAACCCACCUGUUCACUUAUGAAUGAUAUCAAGCUCAGGAUAUAAUCCAUCUUUCCAAAGAUUUUAGUAUCUUUAGUUUGGGCUGCAGAAGAAAUUUUGGCUCACAGCAUUAUGCUUAAACCAAAAACAGUGAAAGAGCUCUAGUGUCCUGCUUAAUGUAGAGUAACUUUUUUUUUUUAUCAGUCCUUCCUAGCCCUAGAGGGAAGAUAGGAGAGGAGGUAGGAAGAUGGAAAAGUCCUUAGAUGAAUGAGUGAGGAGACUUCUAUACCAUCAACUUCAGAGUGUACUGAUCCCCGGAGCCUGGUUCAGGAGGCUAGUUUCAGAUGAUCGGAGGAAAUGGAGGAGGUAGCUUUUAUUCCCAUGCAUGAAGAUGGGGGGAGGAGGUGGGCACUAGACUAAUUUUUUAAUCUAAAAAAAAUCAAGCCUAUUACAAAUCUCAUUUUUCCCUUGUCCUUUUGCCUCCCAAUAAUUCACAUAAAAUCGUGUUAUCAUAGUAAGCUAAGAGAGAGGGGCAGUAGCUAUUUCUACCUUGACUCCGUGGUGACUUCAUCUUUUUCAUGAGUGUCAUUACAGAUACCUGGAUCAUGAUGAUCCUGAAAAACAGGUCACAGGGCCAACAGCUGAUGAGUAUUUGGAGCAUCUUAUUCCCCCAAGAUGACCACUCCCUGUCUUCUGCUACACCUAUAUUCAUCGGGGGGGGGAGGUGGGAAAAUAGCAGGAUUCUUGGGGACUCUGAGGGCAUGAAUGGAGAAUUAUUUGAUUGAAACCACAGAGCUCUUGUACUUAGUAUUAAAUAUUAAAAUAGAAAUGAAAAGUUCAGCUUUUCUGAGCUGUACCAUAGCGGCCAAUGGAGGAAGUCUUACAAAGAAAAUCUAUAUCUGCACAAGACUGAAGCCACUAAACCGAGUAUACACAACAUAAAGAUAUCUUCCUAUUUCAAGUAUCCCUUAGGGGGCAUGGGUGCUUAGCUAUCCUAUGAAAGACAGAGAAGAUAAGCUCAAUUUUAGAGCCCAGAGCUUGCUCCGGAACAGCAAGAUCCACAUGAACUUAAACUCUUUCCCACUGAGCCUAGGGGUGGAAUGUAAUUCCUCUGAUGGUUUUGAUUUAUUUCCAAGCUAGACUUCUCUAUUUGAUCAUUGGCACCUUGGCAGCUCACACAUCUCCGUGGUCUCUUCUGUAGCUUUCAGAAAAAAAAAAAAAAUAUAUAUAUAUAUAUAUAUAUACACACACAUACAUACAUACAUACAUAUACAUAACCCUGUUUGGGUAAGGCCUAUUGACAGAAGCCAGAUAUCUGGGUGGAAGUUAGAAGAUGGGCAAGGAAUUCUUAUCUCAGAGUUUCAACACUGCGACAAUGUGGAGAGAAGUCUCCUGGGAAAAUGCAGAUGCCCAAUAACUUCCAAAAGAAUCAGGGAAGUUGGAGUAUUUUUGAGAUUUACAGUGUCUUUACUUCAGUAAAACAAGCCAUAGCAACAUUAUGCUCUGCAGAGUCUUCUGUUCACCUUUGGAUGGAAAAGAGCUGCUUCUCCUAGGGAGACAACUAAGACCAAGAACAAAACUCCCAUCUCCUAGGCCAAUUAUUGUUUUCUCCUUUCCUUUCUUUUUUAUUCUCUUUGUUACAUAAUGGUGAAAUCUACCUGGCCAUUGCCAGUCAAACAUUCUAAUUGCUAAAUAUCAUACAGAAAUUCAUGAAAAAAGAGUAGAAUCAGCAGAUUUCAUUUAAUCCCAAGGGUCUUUGCAGUUUUCAUCCUCUCCCUCAAAGUUAUCUCUUCUUUGAGACACAUGAUCACCCCUUUCCUCUUCUGGGUGGCCAUGAUUCCAAAAUGAACUUCAGUGGUUGGUGCUUCACAAAAGGAAAGACAGCUAUAAUAUAAAAUAGACCAAAAUACUUAUAUUUUUAGCCACUGCAAAGUGGGUUUUAUCGUUGAGAACAACCUUCCAAGCUCCUUACUUGGAAACCCUUCCUCACCUCCCAGCCUCCUGGCAGCUCUCCUGGUUCCCCUUCAUGUUUUUGGCUCCCCUCCCCGACUUUCCUUUCCUAUGAAAAUGGGAUAUAUCCCUUAAACUGUAUUCUUAUCUAAACUAUCAGACUGUUAAAAGAAACCCUUGACAGUAAUUUUUCAUGGUUUUCUCAUCAUUUUUUAACUUAGGAAGUUGGAGAAAGAAUGACAAGCAGGCAAAUGAGGUCUUGUUCCUGAGUGCUUCAACUCAAGAUCAAGUGCUGGGAUAGUGAGUGGCUCUUAGUGGAGAGGGAUGUGCUCUGGAAUAUUAAGCCACCUCUGAGCAUGUGUCCUGGUGCUCUGGUCAAGAUGCCUGUUGUGUAUGUGGAGGUAUUUUGUGGCUUUUCUUGUUCUCUCUUUUUAAAUUUAUUUCAAGGCACAAGCCCUUUGUGAUGGAGGAUGUCUAGCUUGAACAUGCUGGUAAUGUGACACUAUCCUCAGCUCCCCUUGGCCCUGGGUUCAUAGGAGGCAAGUGUUUCUAAAUUUCUCGCCCAGUGAGUUGUUGCAUGUUAUUUUUAACCAUUAAUAUUGUGUGUCUAUUGGAAUGAGAAACAGAAGGUUGAAUGGGAAAUAGAUUCAGUGACAAGCAGACAAAAAGCUUGGUUCUGAGAAAUGUUCUUCACUGAGUUGAAAAAAAAAUAAUCUAGAAACAAAGAAGAGGGAAAUUGGGGUAGAAUGGUUUGGUGGUGAAGAGACGAUGACACCCACAUCCAGAUGCUCUGGUGUAUUCCCUCAGAGAUUUGUCAUUCCCUGUGAGCUCUGGCAGAAGGAGAGGCUGUGCGCCUUGUGUGCAUUGUGAUUACAUUGACUUAAAUUGGGAAGCCAAGGGGCACUGAGAACUGAAUAUAUCAGGGGAAUGGAGUUAGCUGAACCUUUUUUUUUCAAUAUUGGAAUGAUUUUGGAUCACAAAGUUAGGUCACCUCUGAGAGAGAAAAUCUGUUAAAUAAAAUUAUAUCUUCCCAUCUCCAGUGAAAUCACUAGGUUGUUAAUGUGAUUACUGUUUACUUCAGAAAGAAAAUUGCUAGAUUCGAUUACAAAUAGGCAUUUUACAGAUUGAUUUAAUCCUGAGUCUUACACAUAUUAACAUGGAAUUUACUGACUCAGACAUGAUCUUCUAAGCUAUAAAAUAUUACUGGCGGGUAGUAGAUCAUAUGUUCUAAGCAAACCAGGAAAGCUAAAACGUUAAGUAAUCCUCCCAAAUAUUCAGCGUCUGUGUAUUUCACUAUAGCUGAAGGGGAUUUGGGAGUUAGGCCGCAGGGGAGAGGAGGGACAAAGUGCCAUAGAUUAAUGAAACUCGGAGUAACUUUUUUCUUACCUAUUAAAAAUAAUAAUUAACCCAAGGACAAUUCUCAAACCAGAAAAAUCAUGAAAAGUGAGCUCUGCACUUGCCAUUGGUUAAAAUUUAGAAACACUUAGAAUAAAUAUCCAGGUUUUGGGGGAGGAGUUGUUUCCUUGCUUGCAUUGUUUUGUUUACUGGAGCUCUUAUUUUGGGGAUAUUUGGUCUGUGGCUUCAGAGCAUGUUUUGGAUAAAUGACUUAUCCAUGUUGAUAUUUAUUGAGUGGAAACCCAUGCCAGGCUGUUCUAGGUGCUGGAAUAUAAGAACGAACCACACAAAGUCCAUACCCUCUUGAAGUUUGUAUGUUGAUGAGAGGAAAUGGACAAAAAAGCAAAUCAAUAGAUCUCAUGUCAGAUAGUGCAAAGUGUCAUGCAGAAAAAUGAGGCAGAUUAAGGGGGAUAGAUGAUAGGAUGGGUGUGGGGUUGCUAUUUUUGAGUAAGCAAAGAUGACAUUUAAGUAAAGGUUUGGAGGAAAUGAGGGAGUGAGACUUGGGGCUUUCUAUGCAAAGGCAAAGAGAAAGCAAUUGCAAAGGCCCUGCUGUCAAACCAAAUGCUUGGCAAACUUGAGGAAGAGCCGGGAGGCCAAUGAGGGAGGAGGAGAGUAUGAGAGGUGAGGUCAGAGAGGGGGCAAUAACGCAAGUCAGGUAGGGCCUUGUAGGACACUGUCAGGAUUUGGCUUUUACCAAGAGCAAGAUGAGAAGUUGCUAGAAGGUUCGGAGCAUAGAGUGAUAUGAUCUGACUUCAGUUGAAGAGGAAGCUUUGGGACUGCUGUGUUGAGAGUAUACCCUGAGAGGGCAGACAAUGGAAGCGGCUGAAAGACCGGUUAGGAAGCUCUUGCAAUAAUCCUGGUAAGAGAUCAUAGUUGCUUGGGCCAUGAUGUUAGCAGGGGAGGUGAUAAGAAGCAGUUGGAUUCCAGAAAUGUUUUAAAGAAUCGAUAUCACACAGUUUGCUGAUGAAUUAGACAUUGAAUAAGAGAAAGAAAAAUCUUAAGAAUAACCUUAGAAUGUUUGGCCUGAGCUAUUGAAAGUUUGGAGUUGCCAUCAGUGUAAGACAGGAAUCCUGCAGGUGAGGCUGACUGGGAAGGAAAGCCUUAUAGUUUAAGGUGUCUACAGAUGUUGCAAGUAGAAAUGAUGAUUAGGCAAUUAGAUAUAUGGACCUGGAGUUCAGGGAAAAUGUAUAGCCUGAAGAUACAUAUUUAAAAUUUGUAUGCGUUUGGUUGGUAUUUGAAGCCAUGAUACUGGAACUAGAGAAUGAGUAGCGACAGAAGAGGAUUCUCUAGACUGAGGCCCAGGGUGGAGGAUUGUUCAAAGCUCCAGGAGAUGAGAAGGGACCAGCAAUGGGAGGAGUGGUUAAUGGGUAAAGCAAGUACUAUUAUUGAGUAGGAUAAGACUAUCUGGAAACAUGGAGGUCAUCCCAUUGAUGACCUGGAAGAGAGCUGUUUCAGUGGACUGGUGGGGGCAAAAGCAUGAUGGGGUGGAUUCAAGAAAGAGGGGAAGGAGAGGAGGUAGAGACAACAGGAAUAGGCAACGCUUUAGGAGUUUGGCUGUAAAGAGGACAUGGAAAUAGCAGAUCAUAGAGAAUGUGACGCCCAGGGAGGGACUUCUUUUUUUAAGAUGGGAAAAAUAACAGCCCAUUUUAUGUUGACAAGACUAAUCCAGGAGAAAGGAAAAAUUGAUGAUGCCUAGGGAGAGAGGACAAUUGCUGGAGUAAUGUCUUUGAUGAAGUGAGAGGGCAUGGGAUUCAAUACAAACAUAGAGGGACUGGCUUCAGGGGACUAACCAGGUUUGUUUGUAUUAAUAGCAGGGAGAUAGUGCAUUUGGGCACAGAUGCAAGUGGGCUGGUAAAUGGGAUAAUGGGAGUAUGCUUUUUCUGAUUGAUUUUUAGUAAACUAUGAAAGGAGUUCAUCAGUUAAGAGUGAGUAUAGGGGAAGAGUAUUGGAGGUUUUGGAAGGAAGAAAGCAUGAAUGAGUCAUAUAGCCAUCCGGCAGGAAGAGUGAGAACAAAAAUGUCGGAGACACCAAAAAUAUAGGAGACAUGCUAGGGGGCAUAAAGGAAUUAUUUGAGUUUUUAUGAUUAUGAGUUUAAAGAAAUUUGUUUUCUUCAGUCACCUUCAGCUGCUUAAACAGGGUGGCAAGUUAGAUUGGAACAGGGUUGGGGUAUAACCAGGUGAAUAUAAUGAAAGCAAGAGAUGUGGAGUCAAGGGCAACUGCAGUGUGUUAACUAUAAUGUUUGGUCAUGGAAUCUAAGCUGGGUGUAGAGGAAAGUGAGGAUUUUUAGGGAAGGAGGAACAAUGAAGCAUAUUAGAGGCAGAGGAUUGAGAUUCAAGCUGGGAUCACUCAGUUAGUGAGUCAGAAGCAAUAACGUAGAAAUUAGGAGGUGGGUUGGAGAGGUGGAUGCUUGAGGUUAUGGAGGGCUUGCAGUUAUUGGUGGUUUGGGGUCUGUUGUUGGGGUGGUGGGCUGAGAUAAGAUAGAGGAAAAGGUUAUAGAAGGAGCAGGGGUCAAGGAACUGAGAGGCCAGGAUAUGGGAAUUAUAUAGAUAUUGAAGUCAACAAAAUGUUGACUUCCAUAUGAUAGGAAUGUAAAUUAUGACAGGAAUGAGGGAGAGUGAUUCGAGAACAUUUCAAUCAUUGCAUCAAGUAAGGGGUGCAGCUAGCCUAGUCUGAUGUGCAUCAAAGCUGGAUUUUAUGGUUGUUGCAUGUUAUUUUUUUUUAAAAAGGAGGGAGGAUGGUCUGGAAUGGCAAUGAGGGGCAAGAAGGGCAUCUCCACCUCCAGGCCCCAGGGCAUGAGGAAGGUGCAAGUGGAAAUGCUCACCACCUGGGAGUGAUUCAGGGUCCUCAAAGAGGAGCCAGGUUUCUGUAAGAGCAAGAGGAAAGGAAUUGCCAGGGUUGUGGCUGGUGAUGAACCACUGAUUCUUAGGCAGGAUUUGGGAGUUGGUAAAGGAAGGGAAAUGAGCUGAGAUGGGAGAUGUGCAUGGGUAUCUGGGGAUGAAAGUCCAAGUGAUAAGAGGGACUGGGGGUCUUGGGCUUCUCGUGGUGAUUGCCCUAAGCGAGGCUGUGGGCAUUUGGGGUUGGCCCUAAUUGUCUCUAUGUCAGAUUGAGGUGGUGAUGCUGCAAGUGCCCGGGGCAGGGACUUGAUGGCAGCACAUGGAACUCUGGUACCUCUUCCUCAGUCCUGAUAUUUGCUUUUUUAACUUCUACUAAAAACCCCACUGCUAACUGUGAUAGGCCACAACAUGUUUUUAUAGAUGUCAACAAAUGUUAUCCUGGAUUGAGACCACAUUUUGACUAUUUAUCCUGGAAAGUACACAUUUUCACAGGAAAUCUUGUCCUUUCUAAGGUUCCCAACUAAGCUAGUCUCGUUGUGGGGGGGUCAUAAUUAUUUGUUCUUACUUACCUUACUCCUUGUUCAUCUUUAAAAAAAAAAUCAAAUAAAAAGGAUUGGAAAGCAACUUUGCUUCUGCCCAAUUCUGCUAAAUGAAAGUUUUCUCUGACAGAUCAUUUUGAUUUUGUAUUUUCUUUUGUGACAGAAACAGUGGGACAGGAGCAUGGAAAUGAAUGAAAGUCUUUAAAAGCCUUGAGAGAGCGUUUUCAAGGAUCAGGAGAGGGCUUAGAAAGAAAAGGACUCUGAGUGGGGCUGCAUGAAAAGGGGGUAAGUGAGGACUCUUGGGGAGGGUCUGAAAAAAACAAGUAGUUUGGCAAGGAGAGCAGAAAAAUAAAAUUCCACUGUGUAGGCAUUUGGAGAUUUAGCAAGAGCAACCUAGAGUCUGCCCCCAGAGACACUGCACGUUGUUUCUGACACAGAGGAUGCACUAAUUCUAUUUCCUGUGCCACCUGAAAAAAUCAUAAUUUGAGAAGAGAAACUGUUAGGCCAUUUCUAGUGAACUAUUUUUCCAAACCCUCACGGAACCCUGAACAGGGUGUGAAUGAGAUCACAACUACUGCUGCUGCUGGUUCAGCCUCUCUGUCCACUAAUAAAGGCAAACCCUUCAGCAUGGUCAUAUCCUGCCAGCCGUUUUCCCCCAAAAGAUUAAAUUAUGUUCAUCUUGGCUCAUCUAACGCCACAUCUUGAGUUCUUAAGGUAUCACAGCCAACUCAGUCAUACCUUACUUUAUGCACUGAGUACGCAUUAAACUCUAUUUAGGAAGGAAGAGGGAAGCAAAGGAAGCCAGGGAUGGUUUUGUCAUGACCUCUCUUUGCUUUCUGACCUCCCGGAAUCCACUCUUUGGAAGAUGUGCAGAAAACAAUGUGACUUCCAUUUACCCUGCCUCAGAUCUCCCCUCCUUCAGACUGGCUCCCACCCCUGGUUAAUGGGGUAACCUGGGUACGCCUAUUUGUUAAAGGAAUUUGUGGGAAGUGAGGGGCAAAAUUGUUGGAGCAGAGGGAAUAGAUUUAUGGGAGCUUUGUUACCCAGUGACUAUCCCAGCAUUAAUACUUCAGAGUAGCCCUGACGCUUGUGGAAACAUUUCAAGGGAGCUAGAGGCAAUGUUACAGUGGAGAUCAGAGAAGGGAUGGGGCAGUGAGCUCUUGUCCCUAGGGGAAAUCUCUUUUCCUCCACGUGACAGGAGCCAGUGCUCCAACAGCAUCAGAAUUACACUUAGCCACAAUGACUGAUGCGUGUGUGUGCCUGUGCACAUGUGUGUGAGCGUGUGUGUGAGCGCACGUGUGUAAGGGGGUGAUGAUGGAAACAUGAUAUGCAUCCACUAUGGGGUUGCGUUGCAAAUUCACAGCUGCACCCCUCCCAAAGUCACAUGGCAGAGGGGAAAUGGUCAUAGCUUUCCUGUGUGAUGUCCUCUCCAGGGAGCACCGACGACUCAGGCUUGCCUCAGCUCUGCGAGGCCCAGACUCCACACUCCUCCCUGGGGCCGGCUCUCCUUCCUCUUGACUCUCAGAUCCCCAGCCCAUCCACCUCCAAGUUCUUUUUUUGUUUAUUUGUUUUGCUUCUGUUUUCUGUAAAUAUCUAUUUCUUAUUUUGGACAUGCAGGGAUCAAUUGAGAUUCUGGAGUGGGGGGAGGGGCGGAUGACUGGGUCUUUUUAUUUUUUCCUUUCUCUCUUGGAUUUUGGUGUUUGAACUUGAAAAAAAUAAUUACAAGUAUAUAUAUAAGCAAAUGACUUACCUUUAAACAAAAGAAAUAAGUUGAUUUCAUUCUUUUGAUUUAUCUUGUUUCUCAUUGGGGUCGGGUGGGGGUGGGGGGUCUUUUGGGUGGAGGGCUUUUUUGUGAGCUGUAUAGAUUUCCAGUUUGGACUUGUUCAAAUGAUGCAGGAACAAAAAUUAAAACGAAUUAAAAAAAAGACAACAUAAAAAAACAAGAAAAACUUUGUGAUGUAUAAAAGCUGUAAAUAGUCAAAGAUUCUUUCUCUUUUCUAAUGGCAAAUUAUUUCUGUCACUUUAUAUUCAAAAAAUAAAGAAACCUACCACAAAUUAUC